GCGGUAAUGGCGCCCAGCACAUCGCUCUAUUUUACUAUAAUAGGACUAUUAUAUGGAAUGCUUCCUCCUGCAACCGGCAGCAUCUCAGUCACAUUACUAAAGACUUAUUCAUAGCACUUCGAUUCACCUGGUCCAUCAUAUGCAGUUAUCAAAAAGAAAAAGAAAAAACAUACCAAAAGACAAUCAACACCAUUUGAAGAGACAAAGAAAGCAUCAGAACAAGAUGUGGCACGGAUGCUGGAACUAUCAAACAAGGAAUUUAAAACAACUAUGGUUAAUUAUGAUAAAGGCUCUAAUGGAUGGAGAGCACCCAAGAAUACACAGGUAGUGGAAGCAGAAAGAUAAAAGUCUAAAGAAAGAACCAGAUAGAAAUGCUAGAGAUCACCAAUAUUGUCACAUAAAUGAAGAUCUUUGAUAGGCUUAUUAGUAGACUAGACACGGCUGAGGAACGAAUCUCUGAACCUGAGGACAUAUCAGUAGAAACCUGCAGAAAUAAAAAGCAAAUGGAACAAAGACUGAAAAAAAAUCCACAACAGAAUAUUCAAGGCCUGUGAAGCAACUAUGAAAGGUUUAACGUACGCAUAAUGGGAACAACGGAAGGAGAAGAAAGAGAGAAAGGAACAGGAGAAAUAUCUGAAACAAUGACUGAGAAUUUCCUCCAAAUUAAUCUAAGUCACCAAACCACAGAAUCAAGACGUUCAGAGAACACCAAAACAAUAUAAAUGCCAAAAAACAAAACCAAAAAUCCCCCAUACCAAGGAAAUGACAAGGAAGGAGAAGUUAGACCAUCUGGGGCUGUGGGAAGGUCUGGCAGAGAGAAGGUGCUUGACAGUGACAGUACUUGGGAGGCCAGACUUCAUCUCGCCGUAUCCAAGGACUGACUGAAACAACACAGACAAGGGCCAUUUAUGGAACUGCUUCUGUUCUUCAAAUUUGGGAGGUUCCAGUUUCUGUGAUAUGCUGUUUGGAAUGUGUUUUGCUGGUAACUAAUUGUUCUGGGUAUGACUUCUCUGGGAGCUGUCCAGCUUCCCAUCUUCC
ensembl:lncRNA